ensembl:lncRNA
GUCUGGACGUGUUCGUCCCUGACCUGCUGCUCAGCGCACGCUAACGAUGUUUUUCAUGACAUCUCUAACCAACACCGCUGUGACUGCACGUGCCUCCUGGGUGGAUCGGCGACUUACGACGUACAAGUAAAUGAAACCGCUUUGGAGUCGCAGGUCUGCGAUGAACUUCGUACUGGGGCCCCGACAAAUGAACUGUGAUAAGACCAGAGCUGGACCUGCAGCCCACACUCGGUCCCAGGACCACCGCUGCCUCUUCCCCUUGGAAACAGCAGCAGUAAGGGGCAAGCGACGACAUCAAACUCCGUGAUCAGUGGAUCCUCACAACAAGAGACGCUGUUUUUGGAUUCCUUCAACCCUUCAAUAGUCUCCUCUUUUUCAAGUCAUGUAAUUGAAAUCAUUUUGUUCAUUUAGCAAAUCCCUUGUGCUAACAAAUGGUAACCCAGCGAGUCUGUCAGUGCUCAUGAAUCGUUGGUCCACAUUGAACCUUCUGUGGUGCGGCCCGGUAUCAAAUGGCCCAUUGACGGG